UACGGGGGGAGCAAGCGUUGUUCGGAUUUACUGGGCGUAAAGCGUGCGCAGGCGGUUUUGUAAGUCUGACGUGAAAUCCCCGGGCUCAACCUGGGAAUUGCGUUGGAGACUGCAAGGCUAGAAUCUGGCAGAGGGGGGUAGAAUUCCACGUGUAGCAGUGAAAUGCGUAGAGAUGUGGAGGAACACCGAUGGCGAAGGCAGCCCCCUGGGUCAAGAUUGACGCUCAUGCACGAAAGCGUGGGGAGCAAACAGG
rnacentral:rRNA from 1 species